AACGAACGCUGGCGGCAGGCCUAACACAUGCAAGUCGAGCGCCCCGCAAGGGGAGCGGCGGACGGGUGAGUAACACGUGGGAAUUUUCCUCAAGGUACGGAACAACACAGGGAAACUUGUGCUAAUACCGAAUAAGCCCUUACGGGGAAAGAUUUAUCGCCGAAAGAUCGGCCCGCGUCUGAUUAGCUAGUUGGUGAGGUAAUGGCUCACCAAGGCGACGAUCAGUAGCUGGUCUGAGAGGAUGAUCAGCCACACUGGGACUGAGACACGGCCCAGACUCCUACGGGAGGCAGCAGUGGGGAAUAUUGGACAAUGGGCGCAAGCCUGAUCCAGCCAUGCCGCGUGAGUGAUGAAGGCCCUAGGGUUGUAAAGCUCUUUUGUGCGGGAAGAUAAUGACGGUACCGCAAGAAUAAGCCCCGGCUAACUUCGUGCCAGCAGCCGCGGUAAGGCGUAUGUGU
rnacentral:rRNA from 1 species